rnacentral:rRNA from 1 species
UACGAAGGGGGCUAGCGUUGCUCGGAAUGACUGGGCGUAAAGGGCGCGUAGGCGGUGGACACAGUCAGGCGUGAAAUUCCUGGGCUCAACCUGGGGGCUGCGUUUGAUACGUGUUUGCUAGAGUGGGGAAGAGGGUCGUGGAAUUCCCAGUGUAGAGGUGAAAUUCGUAGAUAUUGGGAAGAACACCGGGUGGCGAAGGCGGCGACCUGGUCCUUGACUGACGCUGAGGCGCGAAAGCGUGGGGAGCAAACAGG